UUCUUAUCGAGAGAGGCAGAGGGACUGGCCCGAUGAAGCCCGGCAGCCUGAAUAAUAUGAAAGUAUAUUAUUUAAAGGUGCCAAAUCCUGCAAACCAUGAUGGUUUGAGAGAUAAGAA
rnacentral:ncRNA from 2 species